UUUUAUUACAGUUCUUUAGCCACUGGGGAUAGAAAAAUAAUUUAGCUACCAGUUCACUAUUUUUCAUUGUCAUCCCAUUACCCACAAGUUCUGUUUUCCAUGUAUCUCUUUUUAGGAGCUCCUGAACCAACAAACCUGGAAGGUGCAGCUGUUUGAGCCCUCAGUGGUGAGAGGAAUUUCUGGAUUUUCCAGAAGGAUUGGAAGGGAGGACAUGGGUUCCAGGCUGAGAAGUUGAAAAACCUUUUAGAUGAGACCUCCAGGAACUCAGUCAGUGUAGUAUGAGCUCACCUUUAAUGUCAGGCGAUGUUCUGAUGUUAAAUCUCCAGAAUUUUGCACAAGGAGGAGCAUCCACUGCUGGGGCAGGACAGCUCUCACCCCCCUGCUCUGAGGGCAUCCUGAGAGCUGCCAAAAUCCACCUGGAUGGACAAAGGAUGCUGCACAGCUCUUAAACCCUGCUGGGGAAAACCCAGGAGCAGCAAAUUCCAGAGGGAUUUGUGUGGGAGGAAAUCCUGUGGCCCUGUUUGCCCUGCACAGCCAAAGAUCAUCUGCCUUGUUUUCCACCCGGAGCCGUCUGCAGAGGGGAUCUGAGCCAGCACAACUCCUUGCUAUGGAGACUUGCUCCUCGGUGACGUGAGCGGAGAGUUUUGCAUGAAAAUCAAAAGAACAAUCUCUGAGGAGUCUCUCCUCUGCUCUCAGACUGUCCUGAGAGCACAGCAUGGCCUGAAAUGAAAAAUCACACAUCUCCUUCUCUCUACAGCUGGAAAGGUUUAAUAAUUAAACCAAUUCUUUUGCUGUAACAAUAUGAAAUUAAAGGGUUGGGUUUUUUUUUGCUUACAAAUAAUAGACAGAGGCAAUCUGAGCUAAUCUGGUGUGUGAGUGUGGGGAAGGAUGUGCUGCAGAGCUGCUCUGGGGCAGAUGUUUAAUGACUGACUGAAUAAACCCUGUGUGCCCCAGCUGGAUCUGUCCUGUACAUGCCAUCAUUCUUCACAGGUUUGCUGGGAUUUACUGCCCAUCCCUUGAUGUUUGUGUACCUGAUAGACAAAGACUUCCCAGAAUCCCAGAAGGG